GAUCGACCAUGGAAACACAUCCCAUGAGUCUCUACUCUCUGCUGUUCUUGAUCUAAUCUGAAGCUACAUGACGUUUGGAGGUGUGUAGUGAUGACCUCUGAAGCUACAUGAAGUUUGGAGGUGUGUAGUGAUGACCUCUGAAGCUACAUGAAGUUUGGAGGUGUGUAGUGAUGACCUCUGAAGCUACAUGAAGUUUGGAGGUGUGUAGUGAUGACCUCUGAAGCUACAUGAAGU